GAUGAACGCUGGCGGCGUGCUUAACACAUGCAAGUCGAACGGAAAGGCCCAAGCUUGCUUGGGUACUCGAGUGGCGAACGGGUGAGUAACACGUGGGUGAUCUGCCCUGCACUUCGGGAUAAGCCUGGGAAACUGGGUCUAAUACCGGAUAGGACCACGUCUUGGAUGUUGUGGUGGAAAGUUUUUUCGGUGUGGGAUGAGCUCGCGGCCUAUCAGCUUGUUGGUGGGGUAAUGGCCUACCAAGGCGUCGACGGGUAGCCGGCCUGAGAGGGUGUACGGCCACAUUGGAACUGAGAUACGGGCCAGACUCCUACGGGAGGCAGCAGUGGUGAAUAUUGCACAAUGGGCGCAAGCCUGAUGCAGCGACGCCGCGUGGGGGAUGACGGCCUUCGGGUUGUAAACUCCUUUCGCUAGGGACGAAGCGUUUUUGUGACGGUACCUGGAGAAGAAGCACCGGCUAACUACGUG
rnacentral:rRNA from 1 species